rnacentral:lncRNA from 1 species
GAAGACGUUUCUGACACAAAACCCCAGGGGAAUCCACGGAGGAGCUGGGCUGUCAUUACUUAUUAACGGUGGGCCUGAUCCCCAGCCAGGCUGGCCCAGGGAAAUAGCCUGUAGGGAGGCCGGCCUCGCUGCUACCAGGUGGAUUAACACUUUCAGGGCGGGAGGGAGCUGUUUGGGGGGGGGGUCAAUUGUCACAUUGUUGCAUGUAAGAGAGGCCAUUCUUUACACAUUAGACACAGGCGCCUUCUUCCUCGGCGUUCCCUCCCCCUCGGCGUCUGCAUUCUUCUCUUCCCUUCUCCUCCUGCCCGCUCUGGUUUUAAGCCAGCAAACCCACAGGAUGUGGGAGACUGCGCUCGCUCACGGGGAAGAGGAAGAUCUGAGAAAGCACACGGCCCGGAACCUGGGGAUGAUGUCUUCGGAGAGGGCCCGAGGAGGCGGGGAGAGGGAGAGGCAGCGGAGCCGCAGCGGGAGCCGGUACAUCCCGGUUGCAGACCGGGAAAGGUUGGAUUCACAAACUGGAGCCUGUUGUCUUGGGGUUGGGGGAAGUUAA